rnacentral:rRNA from 3 species
CUUUAUUGGAGAGUUUGAUCCUGGCUCAGGAUGAACGCUGGCGGCGUGCCUAAUACAUGCAAGUCGAGCGAAUGGAUUAAGAGCUUGCUCUUAUGAAGUUAGCGGCGGACGGGUGAGUAACACGUGGGUAACCUGCCCAUAAGACUGGGAUAACUCCGGGAAACCGGGGCUAAUACCG